rnacentral:tRNA from 1 species
ACUAUUUUGGCAGAAAAAUGUGAUGGUUUUAGGAAUCAUUUAAAUAUAAUUAUUAAUUGUAUAUGUAGUA